rnacentral:rRNA from 1 species
GCUAAGAAUAUUCCGCAAUGGACGAAAGUCUGACGGAGCGACGCCGCGUGGAUGACGAAGGCCGAAAGGUUGUAAAGUCCUUUUGUCAAUGAAGAAUAAGGGUAGGAGGGAAUGCCUGCCUGAUGACGUUAGUCGGCGAAUAAGCCCCGGCUAAUUACGUGCCAGCAGCCGCGGUAACACGUAAGGGGCAAGCGUUGUUCGGAAUUAUUGGGCGUAAAGGGUACGUAGGCGGUUUGGUAAGCCCGGCGUGAAAUCCUGCAGCUUAACUGUAGAGCUGCGCUGGGAACUGAGAAACUUGAGUCAUGGAAGGGGAGUUAGAAUUCCAGGUGUAGGGGUGAAAUCUGUAGAUAUCUGGAAGAAUACCGGUGGCGAAGGCGAACUCCUGGCCAAUGACUGACGCUGAGGUACGAAAGUGCGGGGAGCAAACAGGAUUAGAAACCCCAGUAGUCC